rnacentral:rRNA from 1 species
GAUGAACGCUGGCGGCGUGCCUAACACAUGCAAGUCGAGCGAUUUACUUCGGUAAAGAGCGGCGGACGGGUGAGUAACGCGUGGGUAACCUGCCCUGUACACACGGAUAACAUACCGAAAGGUAUGCUAAUACGAGAUAAUAUGCUUUUAUCGCAUGGUAGAAGUAUCAAAGCUUUUGCGGUACAGGAUGGACCCGCGUCUGAUUAGCUAGUUGGUAAGGUAACGGCUUACCAAGGCGACGAUCAGUAGCCGACCUGAGAGGGUGAUCGGCCACAUGGGAACUGAUACACGGUCCAAACUCCUACGGGAGGCAGCAGUGGGGAAUAUUGCACAAUGGGCGAAAGCCUGAUGCAGCAACGCCGCGUGAGCGAUGAAGGCCUUCGGGUCGUAAAGCUCUGUCCUCAAGGAAGAUAAUGACGGUACUUGAGGAGGAAGCCCCGGCUAACUACGUGCCAGCCGCCGCCGUAA